UACGGAGAGUGCAAGCGUUGUUCGGAAUCAUUGGGCGUAAAGAGCGUGUAGGCGGCCUGCUAAGUCUGGUGUGAAAGCCCUCGGCUCAACCGAGGAAGUGCAUUGGAUACUGGCAGGCUUGAGUACGGGAGAGGGAAGCGGAAUUCCCAGUGUAGAGGUGAAAUUCGUAGAUAUUGGGAGGAACACCAGUGGCGAAGGCGGCUUCCUGGACCGAUACUGACGCUGAGACGCGAAAGCGUGGGGAGCAAACAGG
rnacentral:rRNA from 1 species